rnacentral:rRNA from 1 species
CCUACGGGAGGCAGCAGUGAGGAAUAUUGGUCAAUGGGCGCGAGCCUGAACCAGCCAAGCCGCGUGAGUGAUGAAGGUUCUAUGGAUCGUAAACCUCUUUUAUAAGGGAAUAAAGUGUGGGACGUGUCCUUUUUUGUAUCUACCUUAUGAAUAAGGAUCGGCUAACUCCGUGCCAGCAGCCGGGGUAAUACGGAGGAUCCGAGCGUUAUCCGGAUUUAUUGGGUUUAAGGGGUGCGUAGGCGGUCUUUUAAGUCAGCGGUGAAAGGCUGUGGAUCAACCAUAGAAUUGCCGUUGAAACUGGGGGGCUUGAGUAUGUAAGAGGCAGGCGGAAUGCGUGGUGUAGCGGUGAAAUGCUUAGAUAUCACGCAGAACCCCGAUGGCGAAGGCAGCCUGCCAAGCCAUGACUGACGCUGAUGCACGAAAGCGUGGGGAUCAAACAGGAUUAGAUACCCUUGUAGUC